UACGUAGGGUGCAAGCGUUGUCCGGAAUUACUGGGCGUAAAGAGUUCGUAGGCGGUUUGUCGCGUCGUUUUGUGAAAACCAGCAGCUCAACUGCUGGCUUGCAGGCGAUACGGGCAGACUUGAGUACUGCAGGGGAGACUGGAAUUCCUGGUGUAGCGGUGAAAUGCGCAGAUAUCAGGAGGAACACCGGUGGCGAAGGCGGGUCUCUGGGCAGUAACUGACGCUGAGGAACGAAAGCGUGGGUAGCGAACAGG
rnacentral:rRNA from 1 species